UACGUUCCCGGGCCUUGUACACACCGCCCGUCACACCACGAAAGUGGGUAACACCCGAAGCCGGUGGCCCAACCCUUGUGGAGGGAGCCGUCGAAGGUGGGAUCCGCGAUUGGGGUG
rnacentral:rRNA from 1 species